rnacentral:tRNA from 1 species
GGGCGUGUAGCUCAGUUGGGAGAGCGCCACCCUUACAAGGUGGAUGUCGGCAGUUCGAGCCUGUCCACGCCCACCA